CGUGGUUCAGUCACUCACAAGAAGACUGAAGACUGGAAGAAACACAACAACAAAACCCAAAGCAGGCUAGCAGGAGGUUGGCUGACAAGCUGCUCCAGCGGGGAUUUGCCCUGUCCCACGGAAGAGAUGUGAGACUUAAACCCAUGAUUUUAUGACUCGGAGAUGAAAGUUUUACCAAAUGAGCCUUCUUGAGGAAAAGGGAGCUGCAAACUCCCGGCUGCAGAAGAGGAAAAAGGCAAGGCUCCAGUUCAAUUGGAUAAUUGGAGAAGGAAAGUUAGUAGCAUUUGCGAGCGAUGUCACAUGAACCUCAGUGGUAAAUUCCUGGAUUUGCUUACAUGUAUUUGUUUUCUUUUAA